rfam:Dacryopinax sp. DJM-731 SS1 chromosome Tnknown DACRYscaffold_20, whole genome shotgun sequence.
GACCGGCUGGCCCAAUGGUUAAGGCGCCUGACUACGGUGACCAUGUUAUCAGGAGAUUUGUAGGUUCGAAUCCUACGUCGGUCG